rnacentral:rRNA from 1 species
UACGAAGGGGGCAAGCGUUGUUCGGAAUUACUGGGCGUAAAGAGCUCGUAGGUGGUUUGUCGCGUUGUUCGUGAAAACUCACAGCUUAACUGUGGGCGUGCGGGCGAUACGGGCAGACUGGAGUACUGCAGGGGAGACUGGAAUUCCUGGUGUAGCGGUGGAAUGCGCAGAUAUCAGGAGGAACACCGGUGGCGAAGGCGGGUCUCUGGGCAGUAACUGACGCUGAGGAGCGAAAGCGUGGGGAGCGAACAGG